CGGCCCCUGGACAAGACUGACGCUCAGGUGCGAAAGCGUGGGGAGCAAACAGGAUUAGAUACCUGGUAGUCACGCUGUAAACGAUGUCGAUUUGGAGGUUGUUCCCUUGAGGAGUGGCUUCCGGAGCUAACGCGUUAAAUCGACCGCUGGGGAGUACGGCCGCAAGGUUAAAACUCAAAUGAAUUGACGGGGGCCCGCACAAGCGGUGGAGCAUGUGGUUUAAUUCGAUGCAACGCGAAGAACCUUACCUACUCUUGACAUCCAGAGAAUUUAGCGGAGAUGCUUUAGUGCCUUCGGGAACCCUGAGACAGGUGCUGCAUGGCUGUCGUCAGCUCGUGUUGUGAAAUGUUGGGUUAAGUCCCGCAACGAGCGCAACCCUUAUCCUUUGUUGCCAGCACAUUAUGGUGGGAACUCAAAGGAGACUGCCGGUGAUAAACCGGAGGAAGGUGGGGAUGACGUCAAGUCAUCAUGGCCCUUACGAGUAGGGCUACACACGUGCUACAAUGGCGUAUACAAAGAGAAGCGACCUCGCGAGAGCAAGCGGAACUCAUAAAGUACGUCGUAGUCCGGAUUGGAGUCUGCAACUCGACUCCAUGAAGUCGGAAUCGCUAGUAAUCGUAGAUCAGAAUGCUACGGUGAAUACGUUCCCGGGCCUUGUACACACCGCCCGUCACACCAUGGGAGUGGGUUGCAAAAGAAGUAGGUAGCUUAACCUUCGGGAGGGCGCUUACCACUUUGUGAUUCAUGACUGGGGUGAAGUCGUAACAAGGUAACCA
rnacentral:rRNA from 1 species